rnacentral:rRNA from 2 species
GUCGUAGUCCGGAUUGGAGUCUGCAACUCGACUCCAUGAAGUCGGAAUCGCUAGUAAUCGUAGAUCAGAAUGCUACGGUGAAUACGUUCCCGGGCCUUGUACACACCGCCCGUCACACCAUGGGAGUGGGUUGCAAAAGAAGUAGGUAGCUUAACCUUCGGGAGGGCGCUUACCACUUUGUGAUUCAUGACUGGGGUGAAGUCGUAACAAGGUAACCGUAGGGGAACCUGCGGUUGGAUCACCUCCUUACCUUAAAGAA